rnacentral:rRNA from 1 species
GUCGAGAAUCUUUCACAAUGGGGGCAACCCUGAUGGAGCGACGCCGCGUGGAGGAUAAGGUCUUCGGAUUGUAAACUCCUGUCAUGCGUGAACAAGGUUGCUUGGUUAAUACCUGGGCAAAUUGAUGGUAACGCAAGAGGAAGAGACGGUUAACUCUGUGCCAGCAGCCGCGGUAAUACAGAGGUCUCAAGCGUUGUUCGGAAUCACUGGGCGUAAAGGGUGCGUAGGUGGCGUGGUAAGUCAGAUGUGAAAGCCCGGGGCUCAACCUCGGAACUGCAUCCGAUACUGCCAUGCUAGAGUACUGGAGAGGUGACUAGAAUUCUCGGUGUAGCAGUGAAAUGCGUAGAUAUCGAGAGGAAUACCAAAGGCGUAGGCAGGUCACUGGACAGUUACUGACACUGAGGCACGAAGGCCAGGGGAGCGAACGGGAUUAGAAACCCCAGUAGUCC